ensembl:Mt_tRNA
AAGAAAGUAUGCAAGAACUGCUAACUCAUGCCUCCAUAUAUAACAAUGUGGCUUUCUUA